AGGCUUUGAUCCUGGCUCAGGAUGAACGCUGGCGGCGUGCCUAACACAUGCAAGUCGAGCGGGGUACCUCGACGGAAGCCUUCGGGCGGAAGAUGAACGUACCUAGCGGCGGACGGGUGAGUAACGCGUGGGCAACCUGCCCUGUACAGGGGGAUAACAUUGGGAAACCAGUGCUAAUACCCCAUAAUACUGAUCGGUGGCAUCACCGGUUAGUCAAAGUUUUUUCGGUACAGGAUGGGCCCGCGUCUGAUUAGUUAGUUGGUAAGGUAACGGCUUACCAAGACGAUGAUCAGUAGCCGACCUGAGAGGGUGAUCGGCCACACUGGAACUGAGACACGGUCCAGACUCCUACGGGAGGCAGCAGUGGGGAAUAUUGCACAAUGGGGGAAACCCUGAUGCAGCAACGCCGCGUGAGCGAUGAAGGCCUUCGGGUCGUAAAGCUCUGUCCUAAGGGAAGAUAUAGACGGUACCUAGGAGGAAGCCCCGGCUA
rnacentral:rRNA from 1 species